GAUGAACGCUGGCGGCGUGCUUAACACAUGCAGGUCGAACGAAGCACCUUGAUUCGAUUCUUCGGAUGAAGAUCUUGGUGACUGAGUGGCGGACGGGUGAGUAACGCGUGGGUAACCUGCCUCAUACAGGGGGAUAACAGUUAGAAAUGACUGCUAAUACCGCAUAAGACCACAGCACCGCAUGGUGCAGGGGUAAAAACUCCGGUGGUAUGAGAUGGACCCGCGUCUGAUUAGGUAGUUGGUGGGGUAACGGCCUACCAAGCCGACGAUCAGUAGCCGACCUGAGAGGGUGACCGGCCACAUUGGGACUGAGACACGGCCCAAACUCCUACGGGAGGCAGCAGUGGGGAAUAUUGCACAAUGGGGGAAACCCUGAUGCAGCGACGCCGCGUGAGCGAUGAAGUAUUUCGGUAUGUAAAGCUCUAUCAGCAGGGAAGAAAAUGACGGUACCUGACUAAGAAGCACCGGCUAAAUACGUG
rnacentral:rRNA from 1 species